GCCUGUAAGACUGGGAUAACUCCGGGAAACCGGGGCUAAUACCGGAUAACUCAUUUCCUCGCAUGAGGAAAUGUUGAAAGGUGGCUUUUAGCUAUCACUUACAGAUGGACCCGCGGCGCAUUAGCUAGUUGGUGAGGUAACGGCUCACCAAGGCGACGAUGCGUAGCCGACCUGAGAGGGUGAUCGGCCACACUGGGACUGAGACACGGCCCAGACUCCUACGGGAGGCAG
rnacentral:rRNA from 1 species